GCAGAAAAAUAUUUCAAGCGUGGAUCGCAUCUAAAAUGGCCUGAAGGAGGUGUUUCAAGGGAGAGGAUUAGUGCAGUGAAGAAGCUUGGUCAUCUUAAGGAUAUUGUAUCACGAAAUGUGGACUCUUCAAGGUCCUCCUUGACUGACUUGUUACAUGGCUUAUUAACAUAUGAUCCGACCAAACGCCUUACAGCUUGCCAAGCCCUCGAUCAUCCCUUCUUUAGGAAUCCUACUUAAGAAACCAGAUUUUUGGAAUGACUUCCAUUUUAAAGAUUGUCGGUUGCACAGGUUACAACUUUGAAUGUAUUCAUUUCUUUAUUAUUUA